AACGAACGCUGGCGGCGUGUUUAAGACAUGCAAGUCGCACGGGAUCAGAUAUGUAGCAAUACUUGUCUGGUCCAGUGGCGCACGGGUGAGUAACACGUGAAUGACAUGCCCUGCAGAGGGGGAUAGCCCAGGGAAACUUGGAUUAAUACCCCAUGGUAUCGCGAGAUUAAAGGGUGGCCGCAAGGCUGCCGCUGCAGGAUUGGUUCGCGUUCUAUCAGCUUGUUGGCGGGGUAACGGCCCACCAAGGCUACGACGGAUACCUGGUCUGAGAGGACGAUCAGGCACACUGGAACUGAGACACGGUCCAGACACCUACGGGUGGCAGCAGUCGAGAAUAAUUCACAAUGGGGGCAACCCUGAUGGUGCAACGCCGCGUGGAGGAUGAAGGUCUUCGGAUUGUAAACUCCUGUCAUCCGGGAGCAAGACCUGGGAGUUAAUAGCUCACAGGGUUGAUAGUACCGGAAGAGGAAGGGACGGCUAACUUCGUGCCAGCAGCCGCAGUAAAAC
rnacentral:rRNA from 1 species